GACGAACGCUGGCGGCGUGCUUAACACAUGCAAGUCGAACGAUGAAGCUGGAGCUUGCUCCGGUGGAUUAGUGGCGAACGGGUGAGUAACACGUGAGCAAUCUGCCCUUGACUCUGGGAUAACUGCGGGAAACUGUAGCUAAUACCGGCUACUUUCACUGGAAGGCAUCUUCUGGUGAAGAAAGCAUUUCGGUCAAGGAUGAGCCCGCGGCCUAUCAGCUGGUUGGUGAGGUAACGGCUCACCAAGGCCACGACGGGUAGCCGGCCGGAGAGGGUGACCGGCCCCACGGGGACUGAGACACGGCCCAGACUCCUACGGGAGGCAGCAGUGGGGAAUAUUGCACAAUGGGCGCAAGCCUGAUGCAGCAACGCCGCGUGAGGGAUGAAGGCCUUCGGGUUGUAAACCUCUUUUGGCAGGGAAGAAGCGAAAGUGACGGUACCUGCAGAAAAAGCACCGGCUAACUACGUGCCAGCAGCCGCCGUAA
rnacentral:rRNA from 1 species